rnacentral:rRNA from 1 species
GACGAACGCUGGCGGCGUGCUUAACACAUGCAAGUCGAACGGAAAGGUCCUGCGCUUGUGGGGUUCUCGAGUGGCGAACGGGUGAGUAACACGUGAGUAACCUGUCCUUGACUUUGGGGUAACAUCAGGAAACUGGGGCUCAUACCGGAGAGGAGCUCUUGCUCCGUGGUGGGGAAUGGAAAGUUUCGGCGGUUGGGGCUGGAUUCGCGGCUUAUCAGCUUGUUGGUGGGGUAGUGGCGUACCAAGGCUUUGACGGGUAGCAGGCAUGAGAGGGUUAACGGCCACAUUGGGCCUGAGGUACGGAGCAGAAGCGUACGGGAGGCAGCAGUGGGGAGUAUUGCGGAAUGGGCGGGAGCGUGAGGCAGCAACGCUGCGUGCGGGAUGACGGCCUUCGGGUUGUAAACCGCUUUCGCCUGUGACGAAGCGUGAGUGACGGUAAUGGGUAAAGAAGCACCGGCUAACUACGUG